GGCAAGCCUGCAUUUUAAAUGUGUCGCAUGCUCAAAAAAACUGUCUACCCUAGGCCAGUCCCAAGGCGUGAAUAUUAACGAAAGAGUUUCCCCACAUGAACAACAUGUACUGUCACAUGCCUUAUGCCUGCCUCGAAUUUAAAAUAGCCUGGUGCAGCCAUAGAGAAGUCUCAUGUCACUGUAACUCCACAUCAACUGCAGGUAAAUGCUGUGGGUGAUACUGUUCUGCUGGGAUGCAUUUCCAGCUAGCUUCCAGAACAGCUCUCCUGUGGGGAAUGGACUUGAUCUGGGCUGAGUACGGCUGGACUUUGAGGACUCCAGGCAUGCUGGCUUGGGUGCACAGGGGCAGAGCUGUUUGUCUCACUAUUUCCACACGGCUGCUUUAUUUUUAACUGCCAGGACUGAAUUUCCCAAAAGGACUGCAUCUCACAGACAACAGGAUAUUAAAUGUGUUUUUAAGCAUUGUACGGUCUGAUCAAAAAACCACGAGCAUGACCAGGAGUGUUCUCCAGCUGAUGAGAAUUGAUUCUGAAUUAGACCAUAAAAGAAGGAUGCACUGUGACAGAAUUUUGUAAAUUUGGGCUUUUUUUUCUUUUUAGUAAGAAACUGGCUUUUCAAGACCCAUCCUAGUAGGAGAAUAUGCAGUGUUAGCGCCGUGGUUCACCCAAUCAACCACUUGUGAUCAGUUUAUUCUCCCUGAGGUCUGAAGGUCUCUGCACUUUCCCAAGGAGCUUCCUAUGACUCAAAGAGCAACCAUCGGAGGACACAUUAGAUCAACAAUUUCUAGACAAAGAACAGAAAUCAGACUGCUUGCAAGGAUACCAGCUGUUGAUGUAUCAUCAUAGCUCUUCUACAAUAGUGGAAGGGUUGUUUUCUUUUUAUACAAUUAUGUCAAGAGGAAUUAGUUAUAAGGCUGUCCUCAUAUGGUUGUUUGGAGCAUUAAAGCCAACAGCUUCUUUAGCAACCAUCCCAGCUUCUGGGCAAAUAUCCAUGGCAGCUUUGGGAGCUCUCUUUAGUUCUGGAUGCCCCAUAAAGAAACACCAUUUAUACUGAAUUAACUAGCUGCUAGUUCACCCCUAAUGCCAGGACUUGAUGUAGUGAAGCAAAACUACGGUGAAGUAAUGAAAUCAAUAAUGUUAUUAAAAUAACUUGCAGCAGAGUUACCAGACACCCUGCUGGCGAAUCUCUCAGUACCUAAAGGGAUGUCAGCAGGAACAUGCCAGGGCCACAGAUAACAGCCAAAAGCCAACUUGCCUUCACCCCACUCAGGGGAGCUUUUCCAGAAUAUCACAGGGGCAGGCACCCAGAGACAGUCCCAGGAUGGAUGAGGGUAAGCUUGGGUGGGAUGGCAGCAGAGAAGAGAGGACAAGCAGUUCCAAAAAGGUAGUUUUUGGCUUGGAGUUUUGCAUAAGAAAGCUUUUGUAGCACUAAUGCAGCUAGAGUGAGACAUUACCAGGAUCAGUGCACACUUUGCACUGGAAAAAGCUGUCUGGAAAAGAUUAAUCUGGUCUUGAAGGCCAGAUGUAUCUUGGUUGGCCAUUGAGAAGCUGGAGGGUCUGGCUCAUUGACGGAUGCAGUGAAGACAAAACAGCUCUGCUUGGCCUGAAUCUCUGUGUUUAAAAACACAUUUUAGUGUCAAUGCAUAACUGAAUAAAGAAGAUUAACUAUA